rnacentral:ncRNA from 2 species
UUCUUAUCAAGAGAGGCGGAGGGACAGGCCCUAUGAAGCCCGGCAGCCGGUUCAUUUUCGAAUGAACGUCGCGGUGCCAAUUCCUACAGGAUUUUUGGAUCUUGUACAGAUGAGAA